GACGAACGCUGGCGGCGUGCUUAACACAUACAAGUCGAGCGGUAAGGCCCUUUCGGGGGUACACGAGCGGCGAACGGGUGAGUAACACGUGGGUGACCUGCCCUCAGCUCUGGGAUAAGCCUGGGAAACCGGGUCUAAUACUGGAUAUGACUCCAUGACGCAUGUUGUGGGGUGGAAAGCCUUGUGCGGCUGAGGAUGGGCCCGCGGCCUAUCAGCUCGUUGGUGGGGUGAUGGCCUACCAAGGCGACGACGGGUAGCCGGCCUGAGAGGGCGACCGGCCACACUGGGACUGAGACACGGCCCAGACUCCUACGGGAGGCAGCAGUGGGGAAUCUUGCGCAAUGGGCGAAAGCCUGACGCAGCGACGCCGCGUGAGGGAUGACGGCCU
rnacentral:rRNA from 1 species